rnacentral:rRNA from 1 species
UACGUAGGGUGCGAGCGUUGUCCGGAAUUAUUGGGCGUAAAGGGCUCGUAGGCGGUUUGUCGCGUCGGGAGUGAAAACAUCGGGCUUAACUCGAUGCUUGCUUUCGAUACGGGCAGACUUGAGGUAUGCAGGGGAGAAUGGAAUUCCUGGUGUAGCGGUGGAAUGCGCAGAUAUCAGGAGGAACACCAACGGCGAAGGCAGCUCGCUGGGACGGUACUGACACUGAGGCGCGAAAGCGUGGGGAGCGAACAGG